rnacentral:lncRNA from 1 species
UUUUAGAGUACUCCGAUGGUCCUCCUAAAAUCCAAGAGCCAAACAGAAAAACAAAUAGAAUUUUAAAAAAUGACAACUUCAAACUGAGAACAAAAAUUCUCUGUAAAUAUCAAUACUUCAUUGAGAACCUCAAUGUGCUGAACACACAACAGUUAAUUCAACCUCUGUGAGGAAAGAUAAAUAAUAAAAACCUCAUUCACAAAUUAGAAGGCAGGAAGAGUGCCCGAGCACAUUGGAAUGGUAUCUCUCCUGACUUCAGUGGUCUUUGGAGAAGGUCUCCUCUCAUCUGAGCAAGGUCAGGGCUGCCGACUGCCACAGGAUGCAGAUGAGAGCCAGGUUCUCUUCUGUCUUUCUCCCCAGUGUUAAACCAGCAUCACACAAGUGCAUCUUCUAGUGCACAGCUUGUGGAAAUAUGUCACAUUUCUGUGGUGCAGCAGAGUGGGAGGCAGAAAAUCUGGAUCUUAUUACCAGUUUGGCCAUGGUCUUCCUAUGUGAACAUGGUAUGGAUUCUUCUGGGCAACCUGAAGCUUCUCUGUGCAGCGAAAAAGUGGCUACAGCUGCUCAUGCUCAUGCUCACGCUCAUACCACCCAGAUGUCCUGGGAUGUGGCUGCAUGGCAGCCCAGACCUGCUCUUCAACAGCUCCUCAGCUACAGGUCCCUGAGAGACCACAUGUGA